GAUGAACGCUGGCGGCGUGCUUAACACAUGCAAGUCGAACGGUGAACACGGAGCUUGCUCUGUGGGAUCAGUGGCGAACGGGUGAGUAACACGUGAGCAACCUGCCCCUGACUCUGGGAUAAGCGCUGGAAACGGCGUCUAAUACUGGAUAUGUGACGUGACCGCAUGGUCUUCGUUUGGAAAGAUUUUUCGGUUGGGGAUGGGGUCGCGGCCUAUCAGCUUGUUGGUGAGGUAAUGGCUCACCAAGGCGUCGACGGGUAGCCGGCCUGAGAGGGUGACCGGCCACACUGGGACUGAGACACGGCCCAGACUCCUACGGGAGGCAGCAGUGGGGAAUAUUGCACAAUGGGCGCAAGCCUGAUGCAGCACCGCCGCGUGAGGGAUGACGGCCUUCGGGUUGUAAACCUCUUUUAGCAGGGAAGAAGCGAAAGUGACGGUACCUGCAGAAAAAGCGCCGGCUAACUACGUG
rnacentral:rRNA from 1 species